GAUGAACGCUGGCGGCGUGCCUAAUACAUGCAAGUCGAGCGAACAGACGAGGAGCUUGCUCCUCUGACGUUAGCGGCGGACGGGUGAGUAACACGUGGUUAACCUACCUAUAAGACUGGGAUAACUUCGGGAAACCGGAGCUAAUACCGGAUAAUAUAUUGAACCGCAUGGUUCAAUAGUGAAAGACGGUUUUGCUGUCACUUAUAGAUGGAUCCGCGCCGCAUUAGCUAGUUGGUAAGGUAACGGCUUACCAAGGCGACGAUGCGUAGCCGACCUGAGAGGGUGAUCGGCCACACUGGAACUGAGACACGGUCCAGACUCCUACGGGAGGCAGCAGUAGGGAAUCGUCCGCAAUGGGCGAAAGCCUGACGGAGCAACGCCGCGUGAGUGAUGAAGGUCUUCGGAUCGUAAAACUCUGUUAUUAGGGAAGAACAAAUGUGUAAGUAACUAUGCACGUCUUGACGGUACCUAAUCAGAAAGCCACGGCUAACUACGUG
rnacentral:rRNA from 1 species